UUUGAUUUUUAUCGUUGCUAAAGCUGAAUAAUGGUGUUACGAGCCAUGUUAGAUUGACAAUCCAUAUUGGACCUUUAGCGUAUCAAGUAUGAAACGCAAAUGGGCUUGAGCUGAAGUCCAAAGCAUGAGAAAGCAUUUCUGAGAUAGCAUGACAACUUGUGUACAAACUGCUAAAUAGGCUCAAAAGGACCGGGCCCAAAAGUGAGUGAGUCCAAAUGACUCCAAACCCAUGCACCAAUUUAACCUUACCCUAACCAUUUCGAGUUAAGAUUUUGGGCUUCCGAAUGUGCCCAGCACACACAAUUUCAGCAAAUCACAUUUGUAGUACUGUAAAAAAACUUAAUUUGGUAUAGGAAUUUUAAACUAAUAGCUACAUAUCCAUAUGAAUCAAUGAUUGGAGACAAUAUUAAUAUCCCUCCCCCUGAUGAUUAUCACAACAUAAUCAGUUGUAGUGGAACUAAGAAGGAACAACGAAAUAAUAGUAAAAAUGAAUUAUUAUAACAUUGUUCAUCCUAAUAAAAUCAAUACUACAACUUCUUUUACAGCUUAAUCUGACUUUACCACACGUAAACAUAAUUACUCCAAGCUCGAAAACUCCUGGGUUGAAUAUCAACAAUUAUCAUGGAAGACAUUUGUUAUCAGAAAUGAGUAGGCUACUGCAAUUUUAGCAUGUUAUAUGGAAUUUUAGGCAUACAAUGAGUAGGAAAAUUAAAAAAUAACACAGUAUAUUCAACUUAUCACUCAAAAAUAGAUUUCAAACAAUAAUCAAACAAACACAACUUGAGGGAUAUCAAAUAAAUUAGCAACAAUGAAAAUCAAAGCAAUUAACAACUUUGUGCUUCAAAUAAACCACAUUUCCAUUAUUUGAUCGAGAAUGGUACCUGGCUUACAACAUAAUAGACAAAAAGAAAAUAAAUCUCUGAAGUUGGGAAGGAGUAACAUGAAGAACAAACAUAGUAGCAGAAAACAACAUACAACAGCUUUAAACCUUACUCCCAAAACUCCAAAAUAGAACCAAUGGAACUAUGUUGAUGAAUUCUGAUUCCUACUUUCAGAAUAUUUUUUGUGAGAAGAAACAAGUGAGGGUGAGUGUUGAUUCUCUGAUAAUAUAGAAAAAAUAAAAGUGUAUGCAGAUUGAGAGUAAUGAAAAAUUCUCCGAAGAAAUGUCAAAAUCUGUGUGUGUGUUGUGUAGAGAGUCAAGGAAUAUAUAGGAGACUGUCAACCGUAAAAAUAGAACAAAAAUAUCUUUUUCAAUCGAUUUUUAUACAAAUGUCACUUUUUAGUUAUUCUUUCAUCCUUUUUAAACCUUAGUAUUUUUUGUAUUCACUCUUCAGCCCUAACACCUGGCCACCUUAUUUUCUUUCUUUGCAAAUUGGCCCCUCCUAGAAGCUUCCUAAAUAACUAAACAAGAUUCCCUACUUUUGGUAUACCCUUUAGCCCCUUCAAUUCCUGUAUUUACUAUUUAUUUCAGAUUUAAAACCUAAAAGCAGACUAAGACUUAGAUCCUAGUUAAAACGAGCAAAUGUUAAACAUAACUGAUUAAGAAAUUACUAAUUAAUUAAGACAGAACAUUGGCAUUUAAUUAAUUUCUAAGAAAACAAAAUGCGAUUUAAACUACCAAUUUUGCCUAAACAUCAUGAUUAAGGACUAACAAAAUCACUGAUAACCUACCUCUAAAUAAAUUUGAGUCUUGACCAAAUGAAUUUCAAAAUACAAAUACAACUUGCCAAUAUUAACAAUUUAAAUCAAUCAACCAAAUGAGUUCAAUCGAAGAAAUUAAUCCUAAGUAAAACCUAAACAAAGUGAUAGAUCCACGAAAAACAAAAAUUUCUAACCUAAUGCAAAUAUCUCAAAAGUGGGGAGAGGAUGAAAAAGAGAUUACCUAUUGAAGCUCUAUUAAUAUGGUAGAGAAAACCUUCCAGAAGAAUUGGCCGGCCAACAGCCAGCUAACUAAAACGUGACUUCCGAGAAAUGGGAUGAAACUCACAUCAGUGGACAUCUCUUGUAAAGAGCUUUCUGCUAAUGUGAGUCUCAACCAUAAAAGAGGACGGAUUGUUUGAGGUCAUGAAGACAGAUUGCAUGGCAGCUAGGGUUUGGUUUUGAGAUUUGAAAUUUGAGAGAUUAAGUGAGUUUUUAGCAAAAAUUAACAGUGGGAUAGUCAUGGGGAGAUGAUAGAGAGAUUGUAUGGUGGGAGUUUGGGUGGAUUUGGGGUUGUGCACUGGUAGGGGUGGUGGUAGGCAGCUAGGGUUUGAAAGGAUUUGACAAAAGAGGAAAUUAAGGGCUUCUAUAGGGUUAGGGGUAUUCGGACAGAUAUAAGGGAAGGGGGAGGUCAGUUCUGGACCGUAGGAUCAGAUUAGAUGAAUGGCCAUGAUCAUCUGUGACCAAAACGGCGUCAUGUGGAUUUGGAAGGGGUCUAGGCCAGGUAAUGGGAGUGGGUUGGACGGGUUUGAG
rnacentral:lncRNA from 1 species